AACACUUGGAGGGCCAACAAUAUGCCAUUCAGUCCGUUAAUUUUAACUCCAGCUAUUAUUUUAGGCCAUGGCAUUAAAGAAUAGCAGAUUACAGGCACCGGGACGGUGGCCUUUCAAAGUGGGGGGAAUAUGUGACGGGUGGGAAAGGGAUAAGCUGUUGAUGCACCUGGCGUCAUUGUGAUCAGUUUAGGGAGUCACGUGACGUUUCAGCUCAGGUGACCGGACGUAAUGCAGGUAGAAUAGUAGGCCUACCUAGCAGUCACUCUUUCUUUUCAAACCAGAUGGUGCGUCUAAUGCAGUGGUGAGAGCACUGUUUGUCGCGUUUGAACUUUGCCGGCGGUGAUCCAACACGAAGCGGAUAGUGUUUCAGUCGUCCGGUGCCUGGUCGUCAUCAUCGGCUGUGGUACAUGUAGGGGGCGUCGGCAUUCAGGAGCAAGUUGUAGCCACUGUUUUCCCCUUAUGUAAAACAUGACAUGUCAGUGGGUUAAAGUUAUGCUGUAGGUAGAUGUAGCUUUUAUACGUGUGUAAAACCACCUCCAAGUUUGUGUUUAUUUAUUCUUUUGCUGUGUAGGGCGAGGCCUGCUCUUUUCCUUUUAUUCCUUGUCAGCUGGGGCGGGGAGAACACAGAGGGUAGCAUACUCUGCUCUGCCUCCAGCCUAGUCAGUGUUGCUGCAGUGAGGCCUGUACUUAGUCUGUGUGUGUAGUGACAUUAUUUGUUGUGUUGCAGUUUGUAGUGGAUUGUUGCCUGUGCGGGGUAUACUUGAACUAAUUGUAGCACUCCUAGUAGUAUAUAGCUACCUGUGUGUAGUGAUGCUAAUUAUAUUCUUAGGGAUAGUAUGUAGCUAACUGCUGUGUGAAUGUGGCUAGGCCAGUUACA